rnacentral:tRNA from 1 species
AUUUAAAUAGCUUAAUAAUAGAGCGUAGUAUUGAAGAUACUAAAGUGAUUGUCUAAUCUUUAAAUA